rnacentral:lncRNA from 1 species
AUGUCAAACUUAAGUACCUCUAGAUUUGUUCUUACUAAAUUUCCUGGCCUGGAAGUCUACUACAUCUUGUUUGCCAUUCCUUUCUCAACCAUCUAUGCAAUGGUGUUCCCAGGAAACUGCAUGACACUUCAUGUGAUCCAAACAGAGCCAAGCCUACACCAGCCCAUGUUCUAAUUCCUGGGAAUGUUAGCCCUCACAGACCUAUGCAUGGGGCUGUCUACUGUGAACACGGUGCUGGGAAUUUUGGGGGGCUUCCUUCAAGAGAUCAGCCUUGAUGCCUGCAUU